rnacentral:rRNA from 1 species
UACGUAGGCAGCAAGCGUUGUUCGGAGUUACUGGGCGUAAAGCGUGCGCAGGCGGCUUCUCAAGUCAGGGGUGAAAGCCCAGAGCUCAACUCUGGAAUUGCCUUUGAGACUGAGUGGCUUGAGUACGAGAGAGGUGAGUGGAAUUCCCAGUGUAGAGGUAGAAAUUUCGUAGGAUAUUGGGAAGAACACCGGUGGCGAAGGCGGCUCACUGGCUCGUAACUGACGCUCAUGCACGACAGCGUGGGGAUCAAACAGG